GGGACAGCAAAGGGGGUGGGAGAGAGAGGUGGUGAUAUGUCACUGCUUGAUUUUUUAAUAUUAUUACUAAUUGCAUUCCCUCUCUUCUUCCAACCCCCGGAGGAGGGGCUAAAGUAUAAAAUCGGGGUUGCAAUCUCUCCCCAAGGGGCUGGGUUCAUGUCGGGGCAAAGCCUUCCGCGCCUCGCCGGGAGGAUGCCGCCUGGCGCCGGGAAGCAGCCGGAGAGAGGUUGAGACGAGAGCCCAGAGCCAAGAGCCCAGAGCCGGCGAGGGAGCCCUUCCGACGCCGCCAGCCACAGCAGGGAGAGAGGCAGGCAGGCAGGCAGGCUUCCCCGUCUCUCGCCACGCUUCCCCAGCUGGCCAUGGAUGGGCGGGAUGGCAAGGAAGCGAGGGAGGCUCUCCUCCGCCAGCCGCCGGUUUCUCGGUAACUGGAGAAAGAAGGGCGCCUCAUCUGCCUCCAAAUGAUUCAAUUCAGCAGCCAACUUUUCUCACUUCUUCCUUCCCCCUUUAGCAUCAGGUAGGGAAAUUAGGGAAACCUUCAUGACAAGAGGGAAGGACUUGUCCUCGGCUUCUCAGUCUGGUUUUAGAACUGGGGCUCUUGUGAAACUGCCGCGUCCAUGCUCACCAUCAUGUAACCUGUGAAUGGCAAAUUGUUGUCAUUUUCGGGUGGACUCACGUGGAUGUUGUCAAGGAGAGUGGUCUGCAAAGAGAAGAAGGGCACUGGUACUCACAUUUUUUUUUCACAUCUCCCAGCGUGAGUAGAGACUGAGUCACCCUUUCCCCAUUUUCUUUUUUUCUUUCUCUUUUUUUGCCACUAUGAUCAUUUGCAAUAUCAGUGCAAUUAAAGAUUGGAGCACGUUCCUCUCCCAGAUCCUCCCCAGUGUCAACAAGACCCUCCGUUUGGUGCAGCAGGUCGAAGCCACCACCAGCUCUGUGGUGAGCGUUCUUCCAAACCCUGAGCGAGACGGCUACUUGGACAACAGCCAGCCCAUGAAUUCCAGCAACUUCACCACGGGCCUGGACCACCUUUUCCAGUACUCCUAUUCGGACACUGACCAGCUGUACAAGGAGUACAAACCCCCUCCGCGAGAUGCCAUCCCCUUGCCCAAGGCGGUGCUCUACCUUCUUAUGGCAGCCCUGGUCGUGGUGGCAGUGGCUUAUGCCAUUGUUGGCCACCUCAUCAAGGACCUGUUCCAUGACUUGAUAGACUGGAUGUUUGGCCCCAACCCAGAAGACAACAGCAACAAGAGUGAUGUGAAUUGCAUCAGCAAUAAUGUGAGUGAGAUGGGUGAGAUUCGGGGGAGCCUCCACCCUCAAGAAUUCCAGUCUCAGGAUGUGGUCAUUUCCAUCAGUGAAAACAUGUGUCAUCUCCCCCAGCAGACUUGAACAGGCCAAUCCUGGAUAUGCUUAGACCAUGCUGGGAGGGUGGCAAAGAGAGAAUGGGAAGGGUUCACCCUUUUUUUUAGAGGAUGGAUUUUUUCCCCUCAAGGAACUUUGCAUUUUUUGAUGUGGGCUACUUUCUCGAUUGCAGACAGCUUUGAAUUGAAACUGGACUCAUUGCAUAUGCACCUUGUUUUGGGAGGAUCCAGUCAGAAGUGCAGCUAUCCCCUCCUCCUUUUGUUAAACCUGGGAGUCACAGAAACUCUUCAGAACAAAUUGUUCCAGGGCUCCUAUAGAGAGCAGAAGCAAACCUGCAGGACAUUUGGUGGAUUCUGUGAUUCUGUAAUAUCAUGCAAGAUCUGCUGUUCCUUUCCAGAUGGUACAAUUUUCUGGACCAGUGUUGCACUGUGAAGGGUGAUUCUGUCUCAAAAGUUAUGCACACAGACAUUUGGAAGAAAAGGAGUAGACCACUGGUAAAAUAUCAAUUCUGUUGUCUUGCUGGAGAGAGGUUGAUGGCUGCACACAUGGAAACAAUUGCCAGUGUCAAAUGGAGCACAACAAAAUGCAAGAUAACAGUGUAUGAUGCACUAACGCACUCCUAAUUUCUGUUGCUAAUUCUUCUGAUUACUUAAAUGUCUGCCCUUUCAGUAAAAUAAUGUGUGGAUAUGCACACAGAGAGACAGUCCCACCACUGUCUGUGCAAAACAGUUUGUUUUCAUUGUUCCUAUGGCUUUUCUGUCUCUGUUUUACUUUCUGAAUGCAAUAGGAAAAAACAUGAUUUAAAAAAGAACCUGGUCUCAGAUGUGAUGGCUCUUUAUUCUGUUUAUUGUUAAAUCCUCCUCUUGUGUCUCAGCCUUUCCUUAUGGUACCCCAUAUACUACACUUAUAUUCCAAGUGGGAUUCCAAACAUUCAUGCCUCUCUCCUGGAGCCCCUAAUAGUGCAGUGGGUUAAACUUGUGCUGGGAGGACUGAUGACUUGAAGGUUGGGUUGCUUACCUGAAGGAUGCCGGUUCAAAUCCAACCCGAGGAAAGCGCGGAUGAGAUCCCUCUAUCAGCUCCAUGCGGGGACAUGAGAGAAGCCUACGACAAGGAUAGUAAAAACAUCAAAACAUCUGGGCAUCCCCUGGGCAAUGUCCUUGAAGACAUCCAAUUCUCUCACACCACAAGCAAUUUGCAGUUUCUCAAGAUACCCCUAACAUGGAAAAAAAUGCUUCUGUCCUUAGAGGCUGCUUCAGUCCCACCCUUCUUACAUCAGCUACAACCCCUGCAAGGCUACAGAAUAAAUUCUAAUGUUUGAUAACCAACCAGUAUUUCCAGAUAAUUCCUCAAUGGAAAUUUGAUGUGUACUGCUUCUCUUCUUUAUCCUAAAGACACAGACACACCAUGAAUUUCUGGGGGAGGAAGGGAGAGAUUACCUUCCAGGACAGGAACUGAAACAAAAAAUAUAUAAACAACACUCCAUUACAUUUGUUCCACACAUUGGGAGAGACCAGCAACAAGUACUUACACCAUGUAUUUCAAUUGGUGCUUGAAGUAAAACAGCUUCAUCUUUAUUCAGCAUUCAAAAUCUGAACACUAAGAAACUAGGAUGAAUUGAAAGUAAUGUAUCUUUCUCUUUUCACUUGCACAACAGGAAAAAAGAAAAGAAAAACUAUAGCUGUGGGCUAUCUCUAACUUAAAUGUGCCUUUAUUUCAAAUUAACUAUACAUAUCUGUCCUGGGUUAGUGUACUGUAUAUAGGAUUUCAGCCUUAGAAGUUAAGUACCUAGAAAACAUAACUUGAUAGCCUGUUAGUGACAUAUGCUAUUGAGAAGUUCAACUCUUGCAUUAUGUGGUUAUGUAUGUGGUAACAUGGUGUAAUGAUUUGAGUAUCGUACUAGUAAUCUGGGAGACAGUGGUUUGCUCAUCCAUGAAAACCCAUUAAUUAUGUGACUUUGGGGAAAGCACACUCAACCUCAGAGGAAGGCAACAGCAACCUACAUUGAACAAUUUUUGCCAAGGAAAACUCCAUGAAAGCACUGCUGUAAGACACACAAUAGCAAUAAUAUCUUCUUCCUUUCUUCACAUUUCUCUAGUAUGCAUUUCUCCCCAACAAAGGUCUCUUCCUGGUUUCAUAUACUUUGAAGACUGUCUGUUUCUGAUAUUGUGUCAUUCAUUUGCUGUAUUAUUGGGUUUUUAUUUAUAUAUUUUAAAGUGGGCCUGUUCUGGGGUUGUUAAUGCAAACGUUUAGCAAGCAAAGAGCACAAGGCACAGAAGCUGAAAGAGGCUUUUCCUGAUUAAUCUUGGUAUGUUUUCUUCAGCCAUAGAAACCCAGGAAAGACUUGAGCAAUUGAUGUUCCCUUGGCCUAAGAGGAAUGCAAUGACAAUCCUGCCUGAACAAACCUUGCUCCAAAAAUCCUAAAAAAAGGAUCACCAAAAGUCAAAGUUAUAUUGAAGAUGUCUAAUAACAACAAGGACAACAGUGGUCCAGGUGCUGAUAAAAUGAAGGAGUGGCAAAAGGAAAAUAAAGAAUGAAACCCUAUCUUGCCAUUAAUUCCCCUUUGGAAACCUUUAGCCUGGAGAGAAAGAAUACUUGCACUUUUUCCUAUUACAAAUUAAUAAAAACUCUUCAUGGUUCUUUUGCUUUCAAAGGAUAUGUUUCUGAGUCAGCAAACCUCUCCCAACUUUAUAAUGAUUUUCUUUUCUUAUUUUAAUUUUCAGUGAGAAAACACUCUAGAAAGCCAAAGGUCUUUCUCAUAUAUCUUUGAGCUCUUCAAAAUCAAUGGCAUGUCUUUCAUGAGGGAAUAAACUAACAUCAUUCUAGCCUGUCUUAGGAAUGAAUACUUUUUAGCAUAAAAAUGGGACUGAGCUCAUUGUCAAUUGAGCAUCUGAAAUUGCAGGAAUGUCAUCCACCCUGUUCCCUUUUGAAAUGCCGCUCUGAAAAAUGAAUAGGGAAUUAAUGCACAGUAUGAUUUCACCAUGUUGUACUAGAACUCAUCAAGAACUGAUUUAGGAUUUCUGCAUUGCAUUCAAUUAAAUAUGUAGUCCUGUCAUUAUUUCAAUAGUAU
rnacentral:lncRNA from 11 species